rnacentral:rRNA from 1 species
CCUACGGGAGGCUGCAGUGAGGAAUAUUGGUCAAUGGGCGCAAGCCUGAACCAGCCAUGCCGCGUGCAGGAAGACGGUCCUAUGGAUUGUAAACUGCUUUUAUACAGGAAGAAACCUCCCUACGUGUAGGGACUUGACGGUACUGUAGGAAUAAGGAUCGGCUAACUCCGUGCCAGCAGCCGCGGUAAUACGGAGGAUCCAAGCGUUAUCCGGAAUCAUUGGGUUUAAAGGGUCCGUAGGCGGUCUUAUAAGUCAGUGGUGAAAGCCCAUCGCUC